rnacentral:rRNA from 1 species
AUUGAACGCUGGCGGCAUGCCUUACACAUGCAAGUCGAACGGCAGCGGGGGAGAAGCUUGCUUUUCCUGCCGGCGAGUGGCGAACGGGUGAGUAAUACAUCGGAACGUGCCCUGUAGUGGGGGAUAACUAGUCGAAAGAUUAGCUAAUACCGCAUACGACCUGAGGGUGAAAGUGGGGGACCGCAAGGCCCCAUGCUAUAGGAGCUGCCGAUGUCUGAUUAGCUAGUUGGUGGGGUAAAGGCCUACCAAGGCGACGAUCAGUAGCUGGUCUGAGAGGACGAUCAGCCACACUGGGACUGAGACACGGCCCAGACUCCUACGGGAGGCAGCAGUGGGGAAUUUUGGACAAUGGGCGAAAGCCUGAUCCAGCAAUGCCGCGUGUGUGAAGAAGGCCUUCGGGUUGUAAAGCACUUUUGUCCGGAAUGAAAUGGCUCUGGUUAAUACCUGGGGUCGAUGACGGUACCGGAAGAAUAGGGACCGGCUAACUACGUGCCAGCCGCCGCAGUAA